GAUGAACGCUGGCGGCGUGCUUAACACAUGCAAGUCGAACGGUGAAGCCCAGCUUGCUGGGUGGAUCAGUGGCGAACGGGUGAGUAACACGUGAGCAACCUGCCCUGGACUCUGGGAUAAGCGCUGGAAACGGCGUCUAAUACUGGAUAUGAGACGUGGCCGCAUGGUCAACGUUUGGAAAGAUUUUUCGGUCUGGGAUGGGCUCGCGGCCUAUCAGCUUGUUGGUGAGGUAAUGGCUCACCAAGGCGUCGACGGGUAGCCGGCCUGAGAGGGGGACCGGCCACACGGGGACUGAGACACGGCCCAGCCUCCUACGGGAGGCAGCAGUGGGGAAUAUUGCACAAUGGGCGGAAGCCUGAUGCAGCAACGCCGCGUGAGGGAUGACGGCCUUCGGGUUGUAAACCUCUUUUAGCAAGGAAGAAGCUUUUGUGACGGUACUUGCAGAAAAAGCGCCGGCUAACUACGUGCCAGCCGCCGCCGUAA
rnacentral:rRNA from 1 species